CAACUUGAGAGUUUGAUCCUGGCUCAGAGCGAACGCUGGCGGCAGGCUUAACACAUGCAAGUCGAGCGGGCGUAGCAAUACGUCAGCGGCAGACGGGUGAGUAACGCGUG
rnacentral:rRNA from 1 species